rnacentral:rRNA from 1 species
AGAGUUUGAUCCUGGCUCAGGAUGAACGCUAGCUACAGGCUUAACACAUGCAAGUCGAGGGGCAGCAUUGGGGUAGCAAUACUUCAGAUGGCGACCGGCGCACGGGUGAGUAACACGUAUCCAACCUGCCGCUUACUCGGGGAUAGCCUUUCGAAAGAAAGAUUAAUACCCGAUGGUAUAAAGAGUUCGCAUGUUCUCUUUAUUAAAGAAUUUCGGUAAGCGAUGGGGAUGCGUUCCAUUAGAUAGUUGGCGGGGUAACGGCCCACCAAGUCUACGAUGGAUAGGGGUUCUGAGAGGAAGGUCCCCCACAUUGGAACUGAGACACGGUCCAAACUCCUACGGGAGGCAGCAGUGAGGAAUAUUGGUCAAUGGACGAGAGUCUGAACCAGCCAAGUAGCGUGAAGGAUGACUGCCCUAUGGGUUGUAAACUUCUUUUAUAAGGGAAUAAAGUGAGGGACGUGUCCCUUUUUGUAUGUACCUUAUGAAUAAGGAUCGGCUAACUCCGUGCCAGCAGCCGCGGUAAUA